GAUGAACGCUAGCUACAGGCUUAACACAUGCAAGUCGAGGGGUACGAGAGGAAAGCUUGCUUUCCUUGUCGACGACCGGCGCACGGGUGAGUAACGCGUAUCCAACCUGCCCCCAACUAGGGAAUAACCUUGCGAAAGUAAGACUAAUACCCUAUAAUUUCCUCAGAUGUCAUCUGACGAGGAAUAAAGAUUUAUCGGUUGUGGAUGGGGAUGCGUCUGAUUAGCUUGUUGGCGGGGUAACGGCCCACCAAGGCAACGAUCAGUAGGGGUUCUGAGAGGAAGGUCCCCCACAUUGGAACUGAGACACGGUCCAAACUCCUACGGGAGGCAGCAGUGAGGAAUAUUGGUCAAUGGGCGGAAGCCUGAACCAGCCAGGUAGCGUGCAGGAUGACGGCCCUAUGGGUUGUAAACUGCUUUUAUACAGGAAUAAAGUUAGCCACGUGUGGUUAUUUGUAGGUACUGUAUGAAUAAGGACCGGCUAAUUCCGUGCCAGCCGCCGCCGUAA
rnacentral:rRNA from 1 species